rnacentral:tRNA from 1 species
GGCCUCGUGGCCUAAUGGCUAGGGCGCUAGAUUUCGGUUUGCAAUGCUGAUUCUCUAGAGAUUGUCGGUUCGAGUCCGGCCGAGGUCG